UACGUAGGGGGCAAGCGUUGUCCGGAAUCAUUGGGCGUAAAGCGCACGUAGGCGGAUCGUUAAGUCGGGGGUGAAAUCCUGGAGCUCAACUCCAGAACUGCCUUCGAUACUGGCGAUCUUGAGUCCGGAAGAGGUGAGUGGAAUUCCUAGUGUAGAGGUGGAAUUCGUAGAUAUUAGGAAGAACACCAGUGGCGAAGGCGGCUCACUGGUCCGGUACUGACGCUGAGGUGCGAAAGCGUGGGGAGCAAACAGG
rnacentral:rRNA from 1 species